GCCAUGACAUUUGUCACCCCAUUGAUUACCAGGGUUGAUUUGAUUUACCUGGCUGGCUAGGUGGGUGUCCC
rnacentral:sRNA from 1 species